CAAACACACAUGCAUUCACAAAAGAGAAAGACGCCAUUUUCUUUUAGCUAAGGUUUUAGAAGCACAGGCAGUGUAGGGAUAGAGAGCACACGUGGGAAAAAAUGGCACAAGCAGGUGGAUACCGUGAGGAACUUGAAAAUGAAUUGAAACAGACUGAUCCAAAUUCCCACGCAAGCCGAUUGGUUGCCCAAGAAAUUGAAAGACUGACCAAGGGAGAAGAUGAGAAGAAAGAAAGGCCUCCUGUUCCUUUCAUUGAAAUACACAAUGAUCGCCCUCAGAAAAUAUCAGUGAAAGUAAAAAUUCCUGUCAGAGAGCAUCCUAGGUACAAUUUUGUUGGCAAAUUGCUGGGACCCAAAGGAACAACUUUGAAAGCACUCCAAGAACAGACUGGAUGCAAAAUGGCUAUUAUGGGAAGAGGAUCAAUGAGGGACAAGGAUAAGGAAGAGGAACUUCGCAAAGAAGGUGGAAAAUAUGCCCAUUUUAACGAAGACCUGCAUGUGCUUGUAGACUGUUUCACAGAAUCCACAGAUGGAUACCACAGACUGGCAGGAGCUCUUGUAGAACUGAGAAAGUUUGUUAUUCCAGAGAUUGCUGAUGACAUGUAUGGAGGAGGUGAUAUGGGCAUGGGUGAUAUGGGAAUGAACGGUGGUGGAGGUGCUCCAAGAGGAAGAGGUUCCUUCAGAGGAGGCCCACCAGAAAGAGGUGCUCGCGGUGGAUUCCGAGGAGGCCGUGGAAGUGGUGGACCUGGGCCUGUCCCUCCACCUGGUGGACGAGGUGCUCCCCCCCCAUCAGGAAGAGGCGGUGCUCCCCCACCCAGAGGCGCCCCUCGAGGUGCCCCUGCCAGCCGAGGCGCUCCACCCUCCAGGGGAGCCAGGGCAGCACCACCACCAGCUGCUUCUUCUUAUGACGGAUACGGCACUCAGGGAGGUUAUGGAUCGGGCUACAACUCACAGUACGAUGGCUCCUAUGAUGAUGGAUAUUCUUCAAGCCGCGGUGGAGGAGAGUCCUCAUACUAUGAUUAUGGCACGACGACUUCAACCUCUGGAUAUGAUUCUUAUUCUGGUGGUGCUGGUGGUGGCUAUGGAGAUUAUGGUGAUGGCUACACACAGAAGGCUGCCCCUCCCCCCAGCUCCAGAGGUGCAGUUAGACCCGCUGCAAGGUCUCAUCCGUACGGCCGGCCAUCUCAGAGCGGCUACUGAAACGGCUGAAGUGGCAUUGAUUGCCAUGCCUGGUCGGACAUGAAACUGGACUUCAACACAGUGUGUUCUCCUCAUUCUUCCCAAAUGAGGACAGCGGAAUCUGCAUUUGUCAUUUGAUUAUGUCCCAUCAAAUGCAGACUUCUGGCAGUGGCUCACACCCUCCCCCGUGUGUAGGUCUGCCUGCAGUAAGAGCUUGUGUUUCAGAAAACACGUUAAGCUCUGUGGAAUCAAGUGGGGGGAAAAAGCACCGAGGUCUCAUUGACAGGCCAUGCUCAAGUCCCCCAAAUGCAGGAAAUGGUUCUUGUUCUUUGAUCAGGAGAGCAUAAUGUUUUGUUGAUGAAUUCAUUUUCGCAACGCGAUUUGUAUCCAACUUUCAGUUUUGCAGUGGGCCAACAAAAAUUAUUGUAGAAGAAUAGUACAAUAAGGAUGACGUAAAUGCCCUAGGUUGCAAUGCCAUUUGGUGAAAAAGUUUGAUGUAUACCCCAUUUUGACUUCAAAUUGACUGCAUUUUACAUUUGAAAAAGAUUUUCCUUGUACCUCAUGAAUGCAUAAAAAAGACUAUCAAGACUGAAUAAUGCCGAGAAGUUACCUUGCUACUUGAGGUUGGCAUUUUCAACAAAAUUGAGGCGUCUUGUCUUUUAAAAUUGUUUUCUGUUUGGGGACCCAUGGAAAAACUUAAGUGUUUUCAAUAGGUUACUUUCUGAGCUAUCACGUUCUCAAGCUAUGGCAAGGAAUGAAUGCGAAAGCACGUACAAUGAACUCGAUGCCGGCUGUUGAUUUGUGGCUGGCUCAAGAAUAGUUGCGGUUUGUUGGAGGGAAAAAUGCAGAUAUGCAUCAGUUAGGUUUUUUGUUGUUACAGUUGUUGGGUUGGGUUUUUUUCUUUACGGGUACAGUGGAUAGUGGGUUUUGUUGAUGAAUUGGAAUAUAAAGUAGGGGUUCCUUAUCUCUUUCAGUAAACUUUGAUGUGGGUGGUUCAUUUAACUUUGCUCACAAAACAUUAUGCUUUCCUUGAAAAAGGUCGUUGUAUAGCAAAAAAUAAAUUAUAAUGAAAAGUCA